AACUCUCAACCUUAAAAGGCUUUUUGUCCUUUGAGGCUUGGAUGUGGAGGCUUUUGCCGGCUCUGUCCCAGAGCCAGCUCCUCUUAAAAACAUUAGUGGAAACUGUUUGCAGCCUCCCCAACAUUGGUGUGAUAAUUAUCAGCGCCAUUGUGGCUACAAGCUCUUUUUUGUAGUGUUCGUUUGGAAAGCUGCACUUUUUGUGCUCUUUCUGUUUACUUGACCUACAGCAGAGCAAUAGUAUCUGCUUCAAACUGUCUUGCUUUUUUAAAGCAACACUUGAUCA
rnacentral:misc_RNA from 1 species